UACGGAGGGUGCGAGCGUUGUCCGGAAUCACUGGGCGUAAAGGGCGCGUAGGCGGCGCGAGCAGUCGGCGGUGAAAUCCCGGAGCUCAACUCCGGAUCUGCCUUUGAUACUGGAGAUCUUGAGUCCGGGAGAGGUGAGUGGAACUGCGAGUGUAGAGGUGAAAUUCGUAGAUAUUCGCAAGAACACCAGUGGCGAAGGCGGCUCACUGGCCCGGUACUGACGCUGAGGUGCGAAAGCGUGGGGAGCAAACAGG
rnacentral:rRNA from 1 species